CGACCUGAGAUCAGACGAGAUUACCCGCUGAAUUUAA
rnacentral:rRNA from 30 species